GAACGAACGCUGGCGGCAGGCUUAACACAUGCAAGUCGAACGGUUGUAGCAAUACAGCAGUGGCAGACGGGUGAGUAACACGUGGGAACCUUCCUAGGGGUACGGAACAACUCAGGGAAACUUGAGCUAAUACCGUAUACGUCCGUGAGGAGAAAGAUUUAUCGCCCUUGGACGGGCCCGCGUCGGAUUAGCUAGUUGGUGGGUAACGGCCUACCAAGGCGACGAUCCGUAGCUGAUCUUAGAGGAUGAUCAGCCACACUGGGACUGAGACACGGCCCAGACUCCUACGGGAGGCAGCAGUGGGGAAUCUUGGACAAUGGGCGCAAGCCUGAUCCAGCCAUGCCGCGUGAGUGAAGAAGGUCUUCGGAUUGUAAAGCUCUUUUACCAGGGACGAUAAUGACGGUACCUGGAGAAUAAGCCCCGGCAAACUUCGUG
rnacentral:rRNA from 1 species